UACGAAGGGGGCUAGCGUUGCUCGGAAUCACUGGGCGUAAAGCGCACGUAGGCGGCUUUUUAAGUCAGGGGUGAAAUCCUGGAGCUCAACUCCAGAACUGCCUUUGAUACUGGGAAGCUCGAGUCCGGGAGAGGUGAGUGGAACUCCGAGUGUAGAGGUGAAAUUCGUAGAUAUUCGGAAGAACACCAGUGGCGAAGGCGGCUUACUGGUCCGGUUCUGACGCUGAGGCGCGAAAGCGUGGGGAGCAAACAGG
rnacentral:rRNA from 1 species